rnacentral:lncRNA from 10 species
GAAAUGGAUGAAAUGAAAGAGCUACUACCAUUUAUUGAAUGUUGAAUAUGUGCUAAUCACUGGACAAGGAGGCUUGUGCCUUUGUGAUUAGCACAUACAAGGAUCAUAUAAAUGUAAUCAUCUCAAUUCCUCUGUGAAGUACGUCUUUUUACCUCCAGAAGGACUUAAGAUUCAGAGAGGGUAAGAGGCUUGCCCAAAGACCGCAGCUACCAGGUGACAGAUCAGAAUUCAAAUGCAGGACGACGGCAAGAUGCUUACUAGCAGAUCAUUUUAAACGAGCAUGCCUGGCACGCAGUAAGCACUCCGUAAGUAGUGUCGUCUGCUACCACUGGUGUUCUUAGAAAGGCUCUGGCCCAACCCUAUCCUAGAAUCAUCACUCCAUUGCAGGCUUGACACUGGAACCAACUCUUUGCUCUGGAAUUAGGUCAAAUCAUUGCUGGCUUCAGGCCCUUCUCCAUUAAAAAACGUACCCAUGGAGAUAAUGAAUGCACUGAAUUUCUACCAGUCAUUACGCCUUGGUGUCAAUCAGAAGGAAUGUCCCAUAGGAAGGCUAGGACUGGGCAUUCCUCUCUACCUAUCACAUGAUUCGAUGAGCACAGGGUGCUGUGGUUUGAUGUAUAGAGUCUGCCUUUCUUAAAGGAGCCCUGAUUGUGGCCUGGAGGGGCCUAUGUGACAUGAUUCCCGUGAGGCCAGCCUAGCAGAGGGCAGGAUGGCUAUCUCUCUACUGUGGCUACAGCUGCCUUUGGAGCUUUCUCAGGAAUCCCGGGUGUCCACUGAUUGAACAAAUGUACACAAACACAGCAGAGCCUGCUCCUGCCAGAAACAGACUCAAAGCUACAGCGACCAGUCCCAGAAAAGUUCCCCCAGGCCAGCUCAACUCCCACCAGCAGGGGUCACACCUGAGCAGCCAGAAGGGUGAGGGGCCCUGAUAGUCUGGCCUACCAACCAGCAAACCUUUGUAUGCUGCGGGUGAGGUCCAUACUCAGUCAGCACAUGGAAGGGGAACUGGAGGAGAACAUUAAGCUGAGAGGAGGUCCUGGUGGGCUGGGGCCAACUCCCCAGGAGCAGAGGAAGCAGCCAGCAGCCUGGAUGGGCAGAGCUGGGCCCAGAGGGACUGAAGCUGCUACUAGCAUGGCACGGUCCUGGGAGCUUUGAGGACACCCACAGAGACAGACGGUGCACACCGAGGGUUCCGCUGCUCAGGAACAGGCAUGGAGAAGAAAGUUGCACUUAGAAGCCCAACAGGAGUUUUGCAAGACAAAAGUUUAAUGAAAGGAGAGAAGAGCACAGAAACUGAAGGUAGGCCCCUUCCUUACAUUUGCUUAUCAGCUCAGAAGCAGAGCUCAGAGACAGCAGCCGCCAGAGGAUCUGGGAGCUGACUUUACUCUUACUGUAAAUCUACCUUCCCACAUUUUCCUGCCUUUUGGAAGCCUGAAGAUACUCUCCUCUUUGUCUUGUCAUUGAAUAGAAUUUAUGGCUCUUUGUUAAAAUACUAUUUAAGCAAGGCCUCUAAAGCCGCUGCCUUGAGAGAGAAAAAGAGUUUUGAACUGAGGCCUCUUCUGUGUGAUGGGUACAGCACAUGUUAAUAAACUUCUGCUUGUUUUUCUUUUGUUAGUCUGACUUUUGUUUUCAGGAGUGUAUCUCAACUUAGAACCAAAAAAGAUAAAGAAAAGAAAUGUUUUCUCC